UACGGGGGGAGCAAGCGUUGUUCGGAUUUACUGGGCGUAAAGGGCGCGUAGGCGGCCACCGCAAGUCGACUGUGAAAUCUCCGGGCUUAACCCGGAAAGGUCAGCCGAUACUGCGGGGCUAGAGUGCAGAAGGGGCAACUGGAAUCUCGGUGGUAGCGGUGAAAUGCGUAGAUAUCGAGAGGAACACCUGCGGCGAAGGCGGGUUGCUGGGC
rnacentral:rRNA from 1 species